UAACCUGCCUCAUACAGGGGGAUAACAGUUAGAAAUGACUGCUAAUACCGCAUAAGCGCACAGAGAUGCAUGUCUCGGUGUGAAAAGCUGAGGCGGUAUGAGAUGGAUCCGCGUCUGAUUAGCUGGUUGGCGGGGUAGAGGCCCACCAAGGCGACGAUCAGUAGCCGACCUGAGAGGGUGAACGGCCACAUUGGGACUGAGACACGGCCCAAACUCCUACGGGAGGCAGCAG
rnacentral:rRNA from 1 species